GAACAAUUUUAAUGAGAUGACUAUUGUUAGCUUGUGUGGUGUUUUUGCAAUUACUGGAUUAACUUUGCAAUCUGAAAAUUAGGUUGAUGUUCACUUGUCAGAUUUGGACAAGAGCCAGCUUGCGUGAUGUCACUUUUUGCCUCCACAUACUUUUUGGCCCCUUACUACUGUCAGCAGCCUGAGUUUUGAUUACUUGCAAAACCAUUGAUUGACAAUUUAGAUGGGAAAUCUCUGUAUAACAGAAUUGAAUACAGCUGCCAGAGGUUAUUUUGCCCACUAGACACUCUUUGUCAACAUGUUACUUUUUUCCUGUUAUCAUUUACUAUAUAUGUAGUUCAAAUCUGGAGUAAUAUCCGUGUACUUUCCAUUAUAGACUAUACAUUGCAGAUGCUUGGAUUAUUAUUCUGAAGUUUAUUAAACCAUCUUCCAAGAAAUGAAAGCCAAGUCUUAAGAAACUGGGUGUUUAUCUGAAAACUCUUCUAUACUUGGUUUUUGUUUUAUCAUCUUUGCUCCAUUUAGUACUUUCUCCAUAGCUGAAAAGGGUUACCUACUAUUGUAUCCAUGAUAGCAUUGUAUUGGAAGUUCGGAUGUAAAUGGACCAAACUCAUUGUUUGGUUUAUAAUGCUAAAACCGUUUUUGAGCUUU